rnacentral:rRNA from 1 species
GCCUAGCCGUAACAUACAAUUAAACUACCAAUUGUCCGCCAAACAACUACGAGUUGCACUUAAAACUUAAAAGACUUGACGGUGCUUCACCACACCCUAGAGGAGCCUGUCUAGUAACCGAUAACCCACGAUUAACCCAACCCCCCCUAGCCUGACAGUCUAUAUACCGCCGUCGCCAGCUUACCUUGUAAAAGAAAUAAAGUGAGCUAAAUAGUAUACCACUAAAACGACAGGUCGAGGUGUAACUAAUGGGAGGGAUUAAGAUGGGCUACAUUCUCCUUUCUGAGAAACGAACAAUACUAUGAAACUAGUAUUUAAAGACGGAUUUAGCAGUAAGAUAAGAAUAAAAUACUUAACUGAACAUAACGCAAUGAAGUGCGUACACACCGCCCGUCACCCCUGCUACCAC